rnacentral:lncRNA from 1 species
UGGCCACCGCGCUGGGGGCGAGAGGAGGGCAGAGAUGUGGACCCACACAGAGGCCACGCCGGGGCUGAGCAAGGACGGCCCCGGAUAGGGCGGGCUUAGAGAGGGGCACGGAGGCUGGACCCUGGCCUUGAAGGAGCCCCUGCAAGGUGGGGGCUGCACUGGGGUUGUGGCAGGGGAACAUGUGGACCACAGAAAGCAUCACACCUGGGCUGGUGCUGGACAUCCCCAGCACCAACCACACCUUCUCAUCGCCAGGGCCUCCUGUUCAGGCUGCUUGGACUCUCAAGCUCUGUCUGCUUUGUUCCUACUUGGCAGAACUGGGCGCCUCUCAGCACUCACUUGGAGACGUGGGGUCGGAACUCUGGUGGCCUGGUGCCUCUCCCAGCCAGGACCUGGAUGAAUGAACACACACCCUUCCUUUCCCAGGCUCUGCCGUGUCUUCUGUCAAAGCAUCAGAAAUCAGGGGCUUUGGCAGGACAACUGAAAUGGUAUAGCGGCUGCAGCAAAGCCUGGAGUCCAACUUACGUCCACGUCUCACAAGGUACAUCUUCAUAACAUGUGCCACUCCUGGCUCUUUUAUUUUCCUGCCACUCACUUUUUCUUAUUUUUAACAGAUAUUCCUUGCAACGUUGCUUGCAUAUUUGUUAAGUGGCCACUAAAUCCCUUCUGGAACUAGGCAGGGAGAAAAUCAGUCGAUUGACCGAUACAAGACAGAAUGAAGUGAUAAUCGCUACCUUUCACUGAGUGCUUUCUAUGUGCCAGGGACAAUCCUAGACAUUUUUUAUUUUUUUAGAUGGAGUUUUGCUCAUGUCACCCAGGCUGGA